UACGGGGGGGGUAAGCGUUGUUCGGAAUUACUGGGCGUAAAGAGCUCGUAGGCGGUUUGUCGCGUCGUCUGUGAAAUCCCGCAGCUCAACUGCAGGCUGGCGGUCGAUACGGGCAGGCUGGAGUUCGGUAGGGGAGACUGGAAUUCCUGGUGUAGCGGUGAAAUGCGCAGAUAUCAGGAGGAACACCGGUGGCGAAGGCGGGUCUCUGGGCCGAUGACUGACGCUGAGGAGCGAAAGCGUGGGGAGCGAACAGG
rnacentral:rRNA from 1 species